UUUUAUCCCUUAUUUCCUCAUUUUAUUUUGAAAUGUUAAAGGGCUCUUAAGUCCUUUUGGAAAUUGGCAGGUUAUAAAUCCUCAAAUAUGUAAAAUAAAAUAUAUUGAUUAUGAACAGCUUAAUUGACUGGAGCCUUGUUCAGGAGAAAGAAGGUAGUUACAAGUAUGCGGGGCCCACAAGAAAAAAACCCUGAAAAGGUAUUCAUGACCUUUCAUUGGGAUUACUUCUUAUUUGAAAUUGCCAAUGUCAUGAUUCAAGGGGAGGGAGUUGUGGAAGAGGAGGCAUCCAACGUAACUCACUCACAUUGGCUUUCUACAUUUGAAUGUCACCAGAUUUAAAUGUAAAUGGUGUAUUAGCACUUUGGAGCUUCUAGAAGAGAAAAAUGUGUAUGCUGAGCCUCUCAGAUUUGUUUGGUUUGUCAGUUGUUUCCUGGGCUUGCUUUUCAAAUAGCGGAUGCAUUUGUCUGCAAGACAAAGAAAUGAAAACAACAGGGAGUUUUGUUUAUGGUCCUAUGAAUCCGGCCUCAUCAAUUACAGCUUCCAGAGUGGUCUAACAUUAACCUGUCUGAAAACAGCAGAGAGAACAGCAAAAUUCCUUGGCCACACUUCAUGCUUUUCCAUCAGCUCUCUAUAUCUAGCCCUUCUUCCUGCUACCAACUUAACACAAUCACUCAUUCAAUAAGUAUUUACAAAGCACCUCUCAGGAUGCCAAGUACUUCACUAAGGGCUGAGGAUGGACAAGGAGACAAGAACAGGCUUGCCCAGCAUGAAGAGGAGGAUUGUGUGAAAGGCCCCAUCAUGAAGAAAGCCCCAGAAUACAUGAUUGCAAGAAGCAGAUGA
rnacentral:lncRNA from 13 species